AUGCAACUCCGAACUCGGCCUUUCGUCUGGAGAGAUAGAAGAUUCCAUGUUCACAUCUGAGGUCACGGAAGAUUCAACACCCUCUGCUGGAAGAUUGCGAAAUGCUGAAGGUGCAUGGUGCUUCAACAACGAAUCCAUUUCAUCCCAAACCGCCAUCCUUACAGUGAACUUAGGUCGACAAACAUUCGUGACUGGAUUCGCAUCCCAAGGUCCUCCAGAAGGACUCAGACCGAAGAAUUAUAACCACGUGAUUGGUUUCUCUGCCUCUUACAGCCUAAAUGGAGAACAAUGGAGUGAAUUCAACGCUGGCAAUCUAUUCUUCGACAAUGCUGAUAAAAACGCCACAAGAGAUGUUAUUAACUAUCACGUGAGCAGCAGCAUAGAGUUAACUCAAUAUGUGAAAAUAAAUGUUACCAUGCUCAUCUCUGGUGCCACAGACAUCUGCCUGAGAUUUGAGUUUUAUGGCUGUGGUACAGACAUUCAGCCUGUCACUAAUGUAAAGGCCAUGACAACAUCCAAAGGUCAGAUAGAAGUGAGUUGGAAAGAACCUACUGCUGAUACUUCUCUGGAAGAAGGCGUUCUUAGCACCGGUAUCUUGAAACCAAAUGGUUACCUAGUAUUCUACCAAUCAGUGGAAUCACGAAGUCCACUUUCGUCAUUGAACAACCAACCAGAAGAUUUGCAAAGCUUUCUUAGUACAAUGACAACAGACAGGACACUUUCUUUAGAAGAUGUCCGUCUGGGCGCUACCUACCACAUAAUAUUACGAUGCAUCGUUAAGGAUUUCAAGAUAGAUUGUGGCUGGAGGAAUAUUGAAGCCUAUCCACCAUGCCCGGAAGGCUGGACUGGUGGAAACGAAUACCAUUGCUUUCUAUAUAUUACUCCAGUUACAACAUACUCUGAAGCAAGAGACACAUGUGCCAAACAGGAUACAGAUCAAGAACUUGGUAAAUUAGGAACACUAGUUGACGACGACGAAAAAGAUUUUCUUACUUCUCGAAUACUUCCCGAAUAUGAUGUCCGACAACUCUGGUUCGUUAAAAAGGGAUGUGAUGAACAGGAACUUGGAAAGUAUAUUCGAUCUGAGGAAGAAUGCUGUAGUCUGCUAAAUGUCUUAGACGAUGGCUCAAUCCAAGAAACGAGUUGCGGAAGUGAUGACUCACCCUCAUCUGCAGUAUGCUUAUGGGAUCAUAAAGGUGAAGGGGCUAGAAUUCGAGUUUCUGCUGUUGAAUCGUCCGAAGAUGGAGUAAGAGCAAGUAUCAAAUGGCGAUACGAAGGUAAGGGUUGGAAGACAGACGAACUCCAAGCUAAAUUAUGGACAGAAGAAGGUAGAGAGGAUAUCCUGACUUAUUCGACUCUGAAAAAUGUUUUUGAAAUAAUUGACUUAAAACCUGGUGUAACUUACUCAUUGCUGCUUCGGCCUGCUCCUAACAUUAGAACCGAGGAGUUUACUUAUAAAUUUGUCAUAAUUCAGUUUGAAGAGGAAGCUGUCAGUUAUGGCGCCCUUCUUACACCAGUCCCUAUGUCAAUCUAUGUGAUUGGCUCCGGAUUCUUAAAACUGAAGUGGGAAAAUGCCAAAACUUUAUCCGCAAGUGGACAAAUAAGAGAAGCAAGUAAAUAUUCGAUCACUCACCAGAGGGCAAAUCAAGAUACAAAAACUGUCGAAGUUACUGAGGAAGAAUUUCUACUGACACCUUUGGCAAUGAGAGAAAAGUACUCAUUUGAACUAACGUGCUAUUUCGCCAACACUUUUUACGUUUGUGGUUCUAUCUCAAUUACUACAGAUGUUCCAGAUUAUUUCAAACGUCAGUUUUCUGGAUCUUACACCUUAUAUGAAACAUUCGAAAACAUCGGAAAGAAUUGGGCUGAAGCGGAGAGUGACUGUCUUGAAAGAUCUGGCCAUUUAACAAGCGUGUUAGACGAAAGCGAGGCGAAGAUAUUGUUACAAAUCUUACCUUACAAAGAUGUCAAAGUGUGGACAGGCGCUAAAAUCGGUCGGAAAGGUUCCGGAUUCUGGACAGAUGGACAGAAAAUCACUUAUUUACCCAUGGCUAAGACUUCGGGAGUGACAUCAUCUUCGGAGUCUUGUUGCAGGGCUUUGAAUGAAGCUGGAAAACUUCGACUUGCUGGAACAAAUUGUGAGGAUGAGAAUCCGUAUAUAUGCAAGUAUUCUUUUAAAGAAAUCCUUGCUGUUCCCGUUCUUCUGACUGCAAAAGCUCAAGCUUGGGAUUCUGUACAAGUGUUGUGGAAUAGGCCUGAAGAGUACUGGUUACCUACAUAUUACAAUGUCCUUUUAUGCUCAGAAAACUCUAAACCAGCUUGCAAUGAAAAUCGCAAACUCAAAGACGAGCUGAUUGUUGUUGAAGGUUUACAAGAAUAUACGAUAUACAAAGUCACAGUUGAAGCUUUAUUAGAGGCUUUGGAUGCCAAAACGGUUGCAGAGACUACGGUUAUGACUUAUCCGAAGUCUCCCGUCCGAUUCGUUAUUUCCUCUGAGGGUGUGAUCAAAGUGCAGACACCCAUGAUGGUAGCUUUGGGAAAAGCAGGUGAACCUGUCAAAGUUAUAAUAUAUCAAUCAUCUACUUCGGUGGCGACAGCCUUGGGAGAUGUUUCUGAAGUGCAGCUAACUAAACUAAUACCAGAAGAGAGUUACGAAAUGCUGGUUCAGCAAGAUGGAGGAGAUUGGGAGUACAGAAUGACUUUCAAUGCAGUUCCCACCUGUAUUCAAGAAGACCUGCGGAUGGGCAUUCUCUGCUACCGCUUAGAGCCUGAUAUCAAAAGUUUUGAUUCUGCCAAAGCUUUUUGCAAUGGGGAAAAGAUGAACAUCUGGAGUCCUGAUUCAGUUUAUGAGUUAGAAAAUGUUGCUAAAAAUUUAGAACUCACUUCAGGAUUUUGGAUUGAAAAACCAUCUUCAGAUGCUUUGUCUGGAAUUAAAACUGAUGAAUCAUGUUCUAAAAGUAACAGUGAUGCCAGAUGUUGCUCUUAUAAUAUGGAGAUUUUAGCUGUGACAUGUUCUUGUUGUGACACAGAACAAGCAGUUAUAUGUGUUUAUGAAGUGAAAGCUAAUUUAGGGCAAGUGUCAAACCUUCUACCAUCCUUCAUCGGAAAUACGUCGAUACAAGUAGAAUGGUCUGCUCCAGAAGAUAUUUCUUGGAACAUCCAAAGGUAUGAAGCUCAGUGCGUUUCAGAAGAUGAGACAUCCGAAGUAAUUGCGAAAACAGUGGAAGGUUUGGAAGUUGCUUUCGAAGGCCUGGAAUUUGGCACUGAUUACGAAAUAACUAUCACGCCUUUUGGAUCCAAGCAAUUAAAAGGACAGAGUUCCAUGAUUUUAAUUCAAACUUUAGAUCCAAGAACAGCCAUUUUGGUGACAGUAGAAUCAAACGGAAUAGCUAUCAUUUCAAGUCCACGACUCAUUCAGAAAGGCAGAGGAAAUGAAGAGGUGGAUAUAUCUUUGCAAGAGAUUGAAACCUCUACGAAGAAUGCUGCUUUAAAAGUUAAAGGUACAGUAGAAAAGACAGAAAUAACUGGCCUGAAGCCUGGAACAAAAUAUGCAGUUACUAUGACUCCUGCAAAAGAAACGGGCAAGCCCUUUAACUACAACGCAACCUUCACAGCUUAUCCUUCCUGCGGUGAGAACCGUGUCCAGGAUGGGUUUUUAUGCGUUUGGACUCCCGAGCAAAAAACCACCUGGAAAGAAGCAUUUCAGAUUUGUAAAAACGACGAUGGAGAGCUCUUGGAUUACAAUACGCAGAAAGAAUUAACUGCUCCCGUCAAGGCCCAAUUAGUAUCGCACGUGCAUCAAAGAUUUUGGGUAGACAUAUCCAACGCUGAAAGUCAAAAUCUCGUGAAAGGGGAUGUUGAGCAAUGUGCAGGAGUCGAAACUACAGAUGUAAUGUGUUGUUCCUACGAGCUGGCCGAAGAUGGAGAACUGGAUGAUCUCAAAUGUACUUGCUGUGACGAACCCAGGCCUUUCGCUUGCAAAAGCGUUGCAAAAAUCGAUUUAGGAGAUAUAGGUGAUAUUUUGGUACAAGAUGUGACGAUGACGUCUCUGAAAAUCGGAUGGACAAUGGUAUCCGACACGAACUGGAAGGAAAGGUCCUUCAUGGUCACGUGGGAAUCUACUUCAUCCACUCAGCGUCGGAAAAGAGAAAUCGAAAUUUAUCAGAAAGUUGUAAAAGACACUUCUGCUGUCAUAGAAGACCUGAAACCGGGUACUACGUAUAGAGUAGCUGUGGCACCACAUGCAGAGUCUAUCAUAGCAGAGGAAUCUGGCAAAGAAGUCAUUGUCUCAACAAGAGAAAGAUUCCAGGUGCAUGCUUGUUAUUCUCAAGAUCUCUUGCUGUAUUACUGUGAUAUUAGGUACCGGUUGUACAGUGUUCGUGCUCAUUGCCACAAAGAUGCUGUACCUGGAUUGCUUGGCUCAAAUAUUUUCUGAGAUCUCUACUUUGGCAGCUUAUUUAUGCAUACUUGUAUCUUCUGCUCAUUCGUAUAGUGUUGAUGAAGCAUGUGUAAAUUCUAGCCCAAAGUUAUGUGUGGCCGUCUGUGUUCUUAUUCAAUUCUUCUUCCAAGGAACAUUCCUUUUCCUUCUUUUGGAAAGUGUACGUAUGUGCUCUGUUCUUAAGGAGUUUGUACCUGG
rnacentral:misc_RNA from 1 species